rnacentral:lncRNA from 1 species
GAACAUAAAUGCCUGUUAAGUCUUACUGACUUUGAAGUAAAACUUUAAAUACACACCUAAGAAACUGUGAAGGAAGGAUUGACAUAACUUGUUAAAGUUUGAUGAAAGAGAGUUGAAAUGUAUUGGAAGAGGGACUCCAAGGAAAAUGAUCCAUCAGAACCAAGUGUUCAUUAUUGAAGCAUAGAGGAUUUAAUAUUUUUCUCAUUAUUUCUCUCCUGAGUCUGAAUAUUUCACAAUAAAAGAAGGUUCUGUAUUUUCAUAAAUUUAAGUUUUACUUUCAGGGUAUUAUUACAGGAUAGUUCUAAUAUCUGAGGCUACCAUUUUAUUUCAGGUUCCAUUAAUUAAGUGAGCUCUGAAAGAGUACCUGUAGAAAAGACAUUCAAUUUGACAUUCAAAAUGACAUCACUCGAUCUAGGGGUUAGAUCAAGAGUUUUGGGUUGGUUCCAGUCAAAAUUAACAAAUAUGCUAAGUAA